rnacentral:rRNA from 1 species
AGUGAACGCUGGCGGUAGGCCUAACACAUGCAAGUCGAACGGCAGCACAGUAAGAGCUUGCUCUUACGGGUGGCGAGUGGCGGACGGGUGAGGAAUACAUCGGAAUCUACUUUUUCGUGGGGGAUAACGUAGGGAAACUUACGCUAAUACCGCAUACGACCUACGGGUGAAAGCAGGGGAUCUUCGGACCUUGCGCGAUUGAAUGAGCCGAUGUCGGAUUAGCUAGUUGGCGGGGUAAAGGCCCACCAAGGCGACGAUCCGUAGCUGGUCUGAGAGGAUGAACCGCCCCCCUGGACCUGAGACCCGGUCCAGACUCCCACGGGGGGCAGCGGGGGGGAAUUUUGGCCAAUGGGCGCAACCCUGAUCCAGCCAUCCCGCGUGGGUGAAGAAGGCCUUCGGGUUGUAAAGCCCUUUUGUUGGGAAAGAAAAGCAGCAGGUUAAUCCCCCGCUGUUCUGACGGUACCCAAAGAAUAAGCACCGGCUAACUUCGU